AGGUGAGAUUUCAACCAAAAGCUCCUGUACGCAAAGCAACAAAAGCUGCUGUUACAAAAGCUGAAGUGAUUGAUGAUGCUGAAACUGCAAACAGUUAGUGCGACGUUAUCAGGAUGGCUUUACAGCGAAGCCUAAGACUAAUAAAAAAUGUGAGUUCUUUUCUGAGUCUUUACUCCUUGCUGCAUCUAAGAUAUGAGCGUCAAGCACAUGAGCAUUAUGAUCAAGAAUGCUCAAGAGUACCAAAAUUACCCAUUUUAUUGAAGAAUCCUAAAAACUAACAAAUUUUGUUUGGUCAAGUUAGCAUUUAUAGUUGUUUACAUUCUUUUGACUCAAUAUAUAUCCUCAUUAGCUUUCUCUCCCCUCUUUUGGUAGGUAAGGAACUAAGGAGUAGGAGUGGACCCCUAAUCUUCCAAGGC